UACGUAGGUGACCAGCGUUGUCCGGAUUUACUGGGUGUAAAGAGCGCGCAGGCGGUCGUUCAAGUCGAGUGUGAAAGCCCCCGGCUCAACUGGGGAGGGUCACUCGAUACUGAUCGACUUGAAGGCAGGAGAGGGAAGCGGAAUUCCCGGUGUAGUGGUGAAAUGCGUAGAUAUCGGGAGGAACACCAGUGGCGAAGGCGGCUUCCUGGCCUGUUCUUGACGCUGAGGCGCGAAAUCUAGGGGAGCAAACGGG
rnacentral:rRNA from 1 species